rnacentral:siRNA from 1 species
GGACAUCUCGGUAUUUCGUGCGCA